GAAAAAAAUAACCAAAUUAAAAAAAAAAAAGUAACUCCCUAGAAAGGCCCAGUCCUGGAACGAAAAGAGAAAAGAACAAACAACGUUUUGGAGCCUUGUGAAAGUAGACCUCCGGCUUUUCUCCGGUGAUGGAAAGGCAGCAAAUACAGAAGCAUAAAAUCGGAGACCCUUAAGAGUCAGAGGAAACCUUACCAUUCACCUCGACCAAUCCCUUCAUUUGAUACAGGAAGAAACUGAGAUCCAGAGUGGUGAAGUCAUUUGCUCAGGUAUUUCUUAGUGAAAGACUUGGAACUGGAGCCCAAAUUCCCUUCCUCCAAGAAUAGAGCUGUUUCCAACCACCCUAUGGACCAGGGUUUUUAGGGUCAAUUGACAGCUUCCCCCACCUCCCUAACCCUUUUGGAGUAACUACUAAGCAUCCAGCUAAGCACUGGACUGGAGAUAGAGAGAAGAAGGUAGAAUUGGUACCACCAAGAGAGAUUACAGUCAGGUGGCUCAAUUGUUCUUUCAAUUCGAAGGUCUAUAGGGUCUCAGAGGAGAGACCAGCAACUGGACAGCUCCUUGAAGAAGGUGGGAUUUGAGCUUGCUCUGUUAGAUAUUGUCAAUCAACCAAUCAAUGAACAUUUAUUAAAAGUUUGCUGGGUACCUGGCAGCAUUUGACUCCAACAGACUACUGUCUGAUCUGUCCCCGAAUUUGUAGUGCCAGCUCAUCCCACUGAAGGCUGGGGAAAUGGAACAUGGAAGGUUAUUGAUCUCAUCACCAAUUUGGAAAGGUUGUCCUUUCUCACUUGGGAUACACAGAAAAUUCCAAUCCACAAGGGCAAAAGAAGAAAAAGAAGAGGAAAAAGGAAAAAGAAGAAGGACAAAAGAAGAAGGAAAAAGAAGAAGAAAAAGGAGGACGAGGAAGCCUAAAGUCUUGAAUACAAAACAAUAUGGGGCUUUUUGUUUGUUUCUCUCUCCAAGAUAAACCCUUCCAUAUUCUUUGUCUCAUGCCAGAAAAACUGACUUUGCUGUACUCAGUCCCACCUCAAGUCUCCCUGCUCUCUGUGUUC
rnacentral:lncRNA from 1 species